rnacentral:rRNA from 1 species
CAGCAGCCGCGGUAAUACGUAGGCAGCGAGCGUUGUUCGGAAUUACUGGGCGUAAAGAGUGUGUAGGCGGUGCUCUAAGUUUGGUGUGAAAUCUCCCGGCUUAACUGGGAGGGUGCGCCGAAGACUGGAGUGCUCGAACGUGGGAGAGGAAAGCGGAAUUCCUGGUGUAGCGGUGAAAUGCGUAGAUAUCAGGAGGAACACCUGCGGUGUAGACGGCUUUCUGGACCAUUGUUGACGCUGAGACACGAAAGCGUGGGUAGCAAACAGGAUUAGAUACCCCAGUAGUCCCUGUCUCUUAUAC